UACAGAGGUCUCAAGCGUUGUUCGGAUUCAUUGGGCGUAAAGGGUGCGUAGGCGGCGCCGUAAGUCAGGUGUGAAAUUUCGGAGCUUAACUCCGAAACUGCAUUUGAUACUACGGUGCUUGAGGACUGGAGAGGAGACUGGAAUUUACGGUGUAGCAGUGAAAUGCGUAGAGAUCGUAAGGAAGACCAGUGGCGAAGGCGGGUCUCUGGACAGUUCCUGACGCUGAGGCACGAAGGCCAGGGGAGCAAACGGG
rnacentral:rRNA from 1 species